rnacentral:rRNA from 1 species
GGGAACACCGGCAGCUCUAGUGGUAACAAUUUUAUUGGGCCUAAAGCGUCCGUAGCCGGUUUAAUAAGUCUCUGGUGAAAUCUUGCAGCUUAACUGUGGGAAUUGCUGGAGAUACUAUUAGACUUGAGACCGGGAGAGGUUAGAGGUACUCCCAGGGGUAGAGGUGAAAUUCUGUAAUCCUGGGAGGACCGCCUGUUGCGAAGGCGUCUAACUGGAACGGUUCUGACGGUGAGGGACGAAAGUUAGGGGCGCGAACCGGAUUAGAUACCCGGGUAGUCCUAACUGUAAACGAUGCGGACUUGGUGUUGGGGUGGCUUUGAGCUGCUUCAGUGCCGAAGGGAAGCUGUUAAGUCCGCCGCCUGGGAAGUACGGUCGCAAGACUGAAACUUAAAGGAAUUGGCGGGGAAGCACCACAACGCGUGGAGCCUGCGGUUUUUAAAUUGGAUUCAACGCCGGACAUCUCACCAGAGGCGACAGCUGUAUGAUAGCCAGGUUGAUGACUUUGCUUGACUAGCUGAGGAGUAGAGGUGCAUGG